GACGAACGCUGGCGGCGUGCUUAACACAUGCAAGUCGAGGGGGAGUAGGGGCGAACUCUACUUCACCGGCGAACGGGUGCGUAACACGUGAGCGACCUACCCUGGUGUGGGGGAUAGCCGGCCCAACGGCCGGGUAAUACCGCAUACGCUUGUUUGACCACAUGGCCGGACAAGCAAAGUCUUCGGACGCACUGGGAGGGGGCUCGCGGCCUAUCAGCUAGUUGGCGAGGUAACGGCUCACCAAGGCGACGACGGGUAGCUGGUCCGAGAGGAUGGCCAGCCACAUUGGGACUGAGACACGGCCCAGACUCCUACGGGAGGCAGCAGUGGGGGAAUAUUGGACAAUGGGCGAAAGCCUGAUCCAGCAAUGCCGCGUGUGUGAAGAAGGCCUGCGGGUUGUAAAGCAC
rnacentral:rRNA from 1 species